GAGAGAAGAAUUAAAGUGAACUUUCCAGUUCAUUGUUACAAAAGAAAAGAAAAGAAAAGAAAAAAAAAGAAAAGAAAAGAAAAGAAAAGAAAAAAAAAGAAAAGAAAAGAAAAGAAAAGAAAAAGGCAUCUUUUCUCUUUGAGAAACACCAAAAUUACUCUGCCCCCUAAUAGUCGCCUGGGUAGAAUUUUCCAUCUUAGCACAAAGCGGCUCGGCUCGACCUGGUUUCAACUAAUCCCUUCUCUGUAUUUAACAAGAGGAACUGGAAGAGUCAGACAGUGUGUGGGAAGACUGAAGAAAAUAAGGAAGGUCCGCAGUUUGGGUCUGGAAUCGAGUCUCCUAUUGUUGAAGGCCUUUGACGCUCAUCCUGACUCCUGAUCGAUGAAUUAUUUGGUCGACUGAGGCAGAAUCACCUUUACUGGAGCAUAAUCUGUUGGAGGCGGCAUCUCCUGAAGUCUCCAUGAGUUGCUGGAAGGAAGGUAUGAACAAAAUGGUGGGUGAAGAAGCUAAGACUGGGGAUGCUGCUGGCAGGAUAGAGUGCCUCAGGGCUGGGCAGGCUCAGGUUGAAGUCAGCAGCACUAAUAUCUCCUAGAGGGGUUUAAUACUCUGAGGAAGGGCAGGCACUCAGAGGGGCCGAGGGUGUGAAAACACCUGGUAUCCAAUGGGGAGGAGCAAGGAGCUGUGCAAUGGGACCAGGUGUGGCAGGUGCUUUGAGGAGGGCUGAGGUUGGGCAGGUUAGGCCUUGACAGCCUGGGAGGCUUCUGCAGGGGUGCCUAGCUCUUUUUGUACUCCUUCUCCACCAAUCUGGCUCUCACUGUCUAGAUGUAAUAACGAGGGAGGUCUUGCAUGGCUAUACUGUGUGCCCGGCAUUGCACUUCCCAUGAACUGCAGCUGUUAGGCAGCUGGGCCCAUGUGGGCCAGUCUCAAAGGGCUGCAUUUAAAGAAGCAUAGCACAAGCAGGAAUUCUCAUCUUUCUUUGAGACUCUUGCUAAC
rnacentral:lncRNA from 1 species